rnacentral:rRNA from 1 species
CACGGGGGGUAACCCCUGGUGGCGAGUGGCGAACGGGUGAGUAAUAUAUCGGAACAUGCCCUGUAGCGGGGGAUAACGCGUCGAAAGAUGUGCUAAUACCGCAUACGCUCUACGGAGGAAAGCGGGGGUCGCAAGACCUCGCACUAUAGGAGUGGCCGAUAUCGGAUUAGCUAGUUGGCGGGGUAAAAGCCCACCAAGGCAACGAUCCGUAGCUGGUCUGAGAGGAUGAUCAGCCACACUGGAACUGAGACACGGUCCAGACUCCUACGGGAGGCAGCAGUGGGGAAUUUUGGACAAUGGGCGCAAGCCUGAUCCAGCCAUGCCGCGUGAGUGAAGAAGGCCUUCGGG